AACGCCCAAAGUCGGUGGCCUAACCUUUAUGGAGGGAGCCGCCUAAGGCGGGACAGAUGACUGGGGUGAAGUCGUAACAAGGUAGCCGUAGGAGAACCUGCGGCUGGAUCACCUCCUUUCUAAGGAA
rnacentral:rRNA from 1 species